rnacentral:rRNA from 1 species
AUUGAACGCUGGCGGCAUGCCUUGCACAUGCAAGUCGAGCGGCAGCACGGGUGCUUGCACCUGGUGGCGAGUGGCGAACGGGUGAGUAAUACAUCGGAACAUGUCCUGUAGUGGGGGAUAGCCCGGCGAAAGCCGGAUUAAUACCGCAUACGAUCUACGGAUGAAAGCGGGGGACCUUCGGGCCUCGCGCUAUAGGGUUGGCCGAUGGCUGAUUAGCUAGUUGGUGGGGUAAAGGCCUACCAAGGCGACGAUCAGUAGCUGGUCUGAGAGGACGACCAGCCACACUGGGACUGAGACACGGCCCAGACUCCUACGGGAGGCAGCAGUGGGGAAUGUUGGACAAUGGGCGAAAGCCUGAUCCAGCAAUGCCGCGUGUGUGAAGAAGGCCUUCGGGUUGUAAAGCACUUUUGUCCGGAAAGAAAUCCUUGGCCCUAAUACGGUCGGGGGAUGACGGUACCGGAAGAAUAAGCACCGGCUAACUACGUG